AGACUUACCUGGCAGGGCAGGUAAGAUACCAUGAUCACAAAGAUGGUUUUCCCAGGGCGAGGCUUGUCCAUUGCACUGCGAGUGUGCUGACCCCUGCGAUUUCCCCAAAUGUGGGAAACUCGACUGCAUAAUUUGUGGUAGUGGGGGACUAUGCUCACGUUCUCCCCUG
ensembl:snRNA U1 U1 spliceosomal RNA